UACGGGGGGGGGCAAGCGUUUGUUCGGAAUUACUGGGCGUAAAGGGCUCGUAGGUGGCCAACUAAGUCAGACGUGAAAUCCCUCGGCUUAACCGGGGAACUGCGUCUGAUACUGGAUGGCUUGAGAUUGGGAGAGGGAUGCGGAAUUCCAGGUGUAGCGGUGAAAUGCGUAGAUAUCUGGAGGAACACCGGUGGCGAAGGCGGCAUCCUGGACCAACACUGACACUGAGGAGCGAAAGCCAGGGGAGCAAACGGGG
rnacentral:rRNA from 1 species